rnacentral:rRNA from 1 species
UACGAAGGGGGCUAGCGUUGCUCGGAAUCACUGGGCGUAAAGGGCGCGUAGGCGGCGUUUUAAGUCGGGGGUGAAAGCCUGUGGCUCAACCACAGAAUGGCCUUCGAUACUGGGACGCUUGAGUAUGGUAGAGGUUGGUGGAACUGCGAGUGUAGAGGUGAAAUUCGUAGAUAUUCGCAAGAACACCGGUGGCGAAGGCGGUCAACUGGACCAUUACUGACGCUGAGGCGCGAAAGCGUGGGGAGCAAACAGG